UCCUGGUCGAAGAUUUUGGAACUGUGUUUGUAUCAAUGGCAUGCACUCAUGUGGUUUUUUUGAUUGGUUUGAUCCUGCAAUGUGUUCACGGUUAAAGAAGAUCAUUCCCGGAUUGUUGAAGAGGGUGAACCGAGAUGAGGAAGAAAUUAAGAGGCUCAAAGCAUUAUUACAAAGUGUAAAUGGUCCA